rnacentral:rRNA from 1 species
UACGAAGGGGGCUAGCGUUGCUCGGAAUCACUGGGCGUAAAGCGCACGUAGGCGGACUGUUAAGUCGGUGGUGAAAUCCUGGAGCUCAACUCCAGAACUGCCUUCGAUACUGGGAGUCUCGAGUUCGGGAGAGGUGAGUGGAACUGCGAGUGUAGAGGUGAAAUUCGUAGAUAUUCGCAAGAACACCAGUGGCGAAGGCGGCUCACUGGCCCGAUACUGACGCUGAGGUGCGAAAGCGUGGGGAGCAAACAGG